GGCAGUACCGUGGCUCAUUUGGUUAAAGUGCGUGUCUAGUAAACAGGUGAUCACGAGUUCGAAUCUCGUCGGUGCCU
rnacentral:tRNA from 1 species